GACGAACGCUGGCGGCGUGCUUAACACAUGCAAGUCGAACGGUAAGGCCCUUCGGGGUACACGAGUGGCGAACGGGUGAGUAACACGUGGGUGAUCUGCCCUGCACUUCGGGAUAAGCCUGGGAAACUGGGUCUACUACCGGAUAGGACUCCGGACUGCAUGGUCUGGGGUGGAAAGCUUUUGGGGUGAGGGAUGGGCCCGCGGCCUAUCAGCUUGUUGGUGGGGUGAUGGCCUACCAAGGCGACGACGGGUAGCCGGCCUGAGAGGGUGACCGGCCACACUGGGACUGAGAUACGGCCCAGACUCCUACGGGAGGCAGCAGUGGGGAAUAUUGCACAAUGGCGCAAGCCUGAUGCAGCGACGCCGCGUGAGGGAUGACGGCCUUCGGGUUGUAAACCUCUUUCAGCAUCGACGAAGCGAAAGUGACGGUAGGUGCAGAAGAAGGACCGGCCAACUACGUGCCAGCCGCCGCGGUAA
rnacentral:rRNA from 1 species